UACGUAGGGGGCAAGCGUUGUCCGGAAUUAUUGGGCGUAAAGAGCGUGUAGGCGGUCCGGUAAGUCGGCUGUGAAAGUCCAGGGCUCAACCCUGGGAUGCCGGUCGAUACUGCCGGACUAGAGUUCGGAAGAGGCGAGUGGAAUUCCCGGUGUAGCGGUGAAAUGCGCAGAUAUCAGGAAGAACACCAAUGGCGAAGGCAGCUCUCUGGGACGGUACUGACACUGAGACGCGAAAGCGUGGGGAGCGAACAGG
rnacentral:rRNA from 1 species